CUGCCUACGGGAGGCAGCAGUGAGGAAUAUUGGUCAAUGGGCGGGAGCCUGAACCAGCCAAGUCGCGUGAGGGAAGACGGUCCUAUGGAUUGUAAACCUCUUUAGGCGGGGAGCAAUGCCGGGCACGCGUGUCCGGAGGGAGAGUACCCGCAGAAUAAGCAUCGGCUAACUCCGUGCCAGCAGCCGCGGUAAUACGGAGGAUGCGAGCGUUAUCCGGAUUUAUUGGGUUUAAAGGGUGCGUAGGCGGAUUUUUAAGUCAGCGGUGAAAGUCUGUGGCUCAACCAUAGAAUUGCCGUUGAAACUGG
rnacentral:rRNA from 1 species